ensembl:miRNA
GUGGGCGGGCAGGUGGGUGGGAAGCCCUGGGACGCUGCCUCCUCUCUCUUGGGGCCUCUCUUGGGCUGGGGGCUGGUCUUAGUUUCCCCAUUCUGCCUGGCCUAG